AGAAUCAAAAAUCUCAGAAUGGUUAAGGUUGAAAGGGGCCACACUGGGUCAUUGGGUCCAACCUCCCUACUCAAGCAGGGCCAUUCCAGAGCACAUGGCACAGGAUUACUCUUCCUGAUGCUGCCCAAGGUACCACUGGC